rnacentral:lncRNA from 10 species
AUUUGGAGUUCCAGUGGGCUUUUAUUGAGAUAAAUUAACAAAAACCAAGAUUUUACCAUAUUUUUGGAACCUUAUAAACUCAGCAGACUCCGGUCCAUAUAUGCGUACAUACAACAUAACACAUCCCAACAAAAACAGAGCCCCCCCCCCCCCCACUGGAACAUCUGCCAAUUAAGAGAAAGCCAAUUUUCCCUUCCCCCAAUGUUUCUGAAAUUUUGAGUUCCCACUGUUCACUUCUCAGUGGAACUGGUCCCUUGUGGCUAGGGACAUUGGAAUUCUCUACCAUUUUUACUGAACAAAAAAUAAUUUUUUUUCCUGUUUCAAAAAAGGGAAUAGUGACUUUGUUUUCUCCAGGCUCCCCUUCCCACACAACCAAUGUAAAAUACAGCAGCCUGUAUCUUAAUAACCCAGCCCUACCCCCUCCCUUACCCAGCAUUGUCUACUGGAGAAUUUAAAUACACUUCUGUUGGAAUCUGUCAGCUGUGGAUGGGCAGAGUCCAGGUGCCAGGCUAGCUCCCUCUGACCUCAUGAACUGUGACAACCUUUGGACACUUAACUCUUUACCCCAAAGAUGAGUUUUUAGAUCAGAAAGGAGAGCAGAUUUUCUUUGGGAGUUUUAAAAAACUAUCUUUAGAUUUAGAGAUACAAAGUACAACUACAAUCUCACAGAAGUCCACUAAAGUUCACCAAAAAGCUGACUUACUUCAGCUCUCAUGAGGCCAAUAAUUUUGAUAAAGGUAUCUGGCAGGAAAAUGAUUCCACAAUAACAAAUUUAAAGAUACCUAGAACAUUGAAAAAAAUAGCAAAUUAAAAUAAAUGGCUUAAUUUCCAAGAACUUAUUUCAUUUUUUUGUUACUCAUCUAGAAGGUCAGGAGUGUGGCUAAAGGCAGUUUCUGAUGAGGUUAUGAGCUUCCAAAGUGUUUCCCUCUCUCUUACUUCUGUGAAAGAUCAUUUUAGAAUAAAUGUAUUCCAUUCCUAUGGGAGAGGCAAAACAGUAUUUAUCCCCAUCAGAAUAUAUGGGGAAAGAAAAAACAUAGGCCUAGAGGUGGUAAGGUGUGUAACAGUCCAUAGCCCAUUACACAACUGUACAACCAAAGGCUAAAUGAUGAGUUGGAUGUAGUUUUAAUAUUAAAAAUAGAGGGUAGUUCUCAUCCAAAUGAGCCACUGGAAAAUAUUAUCAUUACUUAAAAAAAUACAUAUUUAAUAUUGGAAAGAAUGUGAAAACAACUUCCAAUAGUAACAAUGCUUAUUAUGAGGGCCCAAAAAAGAAAGAAAAAAAAAAAAAAAAAAAAAAAGACCAG